CCAGACAGUGCCAGCUUCACCGGAGCAGAAACUGACUGCGGCCUGACCUGCAAUCCUCCAGCCUCCUUCUCAGCUCGGGCAGCCAUUAACCAUUGAAGCCCCAGUCUUGCCAAAUAGGCACAAUCAGCUGAUCACGACAUCCACGAGAAGCAGAACCCCAAAAGGAUGAAUGACAGAAGAGCAUUAGAACCCCAAAGCUCUCUCUCCCUCCUUCUCCACGCAAGCAACAGCGAAGCAUCAACCUCCCCAUCCGCCCGCCCACCACCCACCAACACCCAGAGACCACGAUCUGCUAUUAUUUACCCGGCAGUUUGACAUGCCACAGUCUCUCCCCCACUAACACGGGACAGAGAGACAUCACUCAUUUGGCAGCAAACGGGGAGACUGACAGUCACUGUUAUGAUAUUACAGUCUGCCCCGUCGCUUUUUAUUCUGAGAUU